rnacentral:tRNA from 1 species
GCCUGGGUGGCUCAGUCGGUUAAGCCUCCGACUUUGGCUCAGGGCAUGAACUCAUGGUUCGUGGGUUCGAAUCCCGCAUCGGGCU